GUCCCUUGCCUAACCUUGAAUGCUGAGCAGGGCCAGGCCUGUUUAGUACUUGGAUAGAGGUCAGCCUGGAAAUACCAGGUGCUGUGGGCU
rnacentral:rRNA from 1 species